CCUACGGGUGACAGCAGUCGAGAAUCAUGCACAAUGGGGGAAACCCUGAUGGGGCGACGCCGCGUGGGGGAAUGAAGGUCUGCGGAUUGUAAACCCCUGUCAUGUGGGAGCAAAUUAAAAAGAUAGUACCACAAGAGGAAGAGACGGCUAACUCUGGGCCAGCAGCCGCGGUAAUACAGAGGUCUCAAGCGUUGUUCGGAAUCACUGGGCGUAAAGCGUGCGUAGGCUGUUCCGUAAGUCGUGUGGGAAAGGGGCGGGCUCAACCCGCGGACGGCACAUGAUACUGCGAGACUAGAGUAAUGGAGGGGGAACCGGAAUUCUCGGUGUAGCAGUGAAAUGCGUAGAUAUCGAGAGGAACACUCGUGGCGAAGGCGGGUUCCUGGACAUUAACUGACGCUGAGGCACGAAGGCCAGGGGAGCGAAAGGGAUUAGAUACCCUUGUAGUC
rnacentral:rRNA from 1 species